UACUAAUUGAUCUUCUUCUUCUUUUUUUUUUUUUUGAUAGAAGUAUAGCUUUCAUUUAUCAUCAGAGAACCAGUAAUACAAUCCUGAUCGGCAUGUCAGGUCUCACACCAUGGGAUCAACUCCCCCACUAGACUUACACACAUCACACUUACAAAGCAUACAGAAAUCAAGAUAAAACCAAAAGUAAAACCAGCACCUGCAGCAUUUCAUAAGCUUCAGCCACAGCCAGUCAGAAAUCUGCAGUCUACCCCUGUUCCUGCAUGGUUCCAAUCCAGUCAUACAACAGAUCAAUGAAACUAGAAACUGCAUGUAAAAGGGAACCCAACCCACGAAAAUGAAAUGAACCUCCAGCACACUACUAGUGUGUAAAACGAACUCCUUGAUAUCGACUAGAAAUAAUGUUAGUUGUUAAGCUAUAAGUCUACAAGUUCUGUAUAAAAGAUUAAUCGACUACUAACCCACAACAUUCAUUAUUGCUAAGUAAUAUUGGCUAGCCUAUGCUUUGUUUUGAUUUGCAUCAUCUUCACUGGAGUCUGUUUCUCUAGCAACAUCUGAUCAUGUAUAAGGUUUUUCAACUUUCAAGUUAAUUAUCCCUGAAUUGCUUUCUUUACGUUUUUUUUUUUAGAUAAAAGUAGUACAGUAUUCCUUUCAUUCAGUCCACGGUCAUUCCUCAUAAAAUGAAAUUGUUUAAUAUAAAGGCCACAGUAGUUCUUCCCAAACCUCUAUCACCUUUGGACAAUAGAAAAACAGAUAAGAGUCAUAAGACAAUGACUCAAUUCCCUUCUGGCAAAGAACACACACUGAAGAUGAGAUGAUAUUCAUAUCAACGAGUCUGUCAGCUGUAGGGAGCCUCUUCAGUAACACUUUCCAGAAGAACAGUUUUGUUCUAUGCUGCAACUUUGACUUCCGUACGAGCUUUGAAGGAAACCUGUACAAAGCCACUGUUUGAGGCAACGAAAACCAGUGAAAGUGCUUAUAAAAAUUCUUUACAGUAAACUUUCCCGUUUUCCCCACUUCCAAAUCAAUGAGUCCUCUGCCGACAACAGUUGGACUAAGUAUAUCUUCAUUUCUUCUAUUUUACUUAGGCAUCAUCUGGAGUUUGGACUAACUAUAAAUUCAGGUCAAUUGAUGAAUGGUGUGAAUCGAACACGUCUUAAAGUACUAAUCAAAAUGAUUUAUUAAUUAAUUCAAAUCUUGAAUUAAUAACCAUCUUACAAAUUUUUCUGAUCACGUUAGUAAAUAUAAUGUACUAUUUGUCGUUGGGAUAUUUCUUGAAUUAGUUAUCAUAUAUUUUCUUGAAUUUGUUACCAUCGAACAUGUCUUAUAUAGAAACCUGGUUGAAGCAGGAAGCAACUUAAUUGCUAACCAUACUACAUUAUUAAAUAAAAGUACUAUAUUUCUUUAGGGUAGCUCUGAAGGUCCUCAUCAUGUGCACUUAUUAGUCAUAUAUAGAAAAUGUGUGUUGACUUGCAACUUGUUAACCAUAGAUUUAGAUGACAGUAAAGCAAAACAUACUACAAACAUGCAUUUUCACGUCUAUACUCAUUCAUGUAUACAAUAUAUAGUAUUGUUCAUGUUAGUAAAAGUCACAACUUUGAGAUCGACCAGGAGAUAAUCCUCGACUUCGUACCGUGUACUAUAAGUUAGAGAUGAAAUUACUAGUAGCUUUGUUCCAAUAAGUUUUGUUAAUGAAUCAUUUUCAUCUUCUCAAUUGAAGCAAUCAAAGAUCGACCAAAGGUUAAUUUACAUCUAAAUGAUGGGCUCAUGGUCUAAUGAGAUCAUAACAUUCCUUAACACAUAUAUCCCCAACUUGUGUUUAGGAACGUUUGACUUUGCAAAUACAGUAUGGCAAAAAAUAAGCUUCAAUUUUAAGGAUAUGAUCCUCCUAAUAUUAAACAAAACAAUUGGAACAAAACAAUUGGGUUCAGAUGGUCUCCAGAUCUAGGGAUCGGAGUCAUCGGACCAAAAUUUUUCUUUCGCCUUACUUAAAAAGAGCUUCAAAUGCGACAAUCCCAAACACAGACAUAUUAGCCAGUCUCCAGCCUACUAAAACAACAGAAAGAAAAAGACCAACUAGGAUCCUCGACAAAGCUCCACGCCCCAUAUUUCUUUGUUUGCAAUAUGUAGAUUGAUGAAGGGAAAAGUUGGUUUGCGAUAAAUAUCAAUGUAGCUAGGCUUCUGACUUUAUGUAAAUGUGUACCAAAAAAAAAAAAAUAACGGGGGCGUGGAAAAUGCGAACGACCAUGUUCAUUUCAAUCUAAUGCAUGCUCUAUCCUAGCUAGCUUGCAUGAGAAACCUCAACUGGGGUGAGUUUUGCUUGAGAUAUAUUGAAUUCGUACAAAGAAGAGAGUAGAAUCCUUUCGAAAGUGGAAAUAACUUAGGUUAGUAGGAAUGAUUAUAAUUAAAGUUGGUCAGCUGGUUUAUUUGUUUGUGGAGCAAGAGACUACACGUAAAUUAAGCCAAACUCCACCACUUCGUCCACAUACAGUCCUAUAAAGACCCUAAUAACCAUAUCUAGAGAAACCAUCCUCAAUACUCCCCACCUUCAUUCCAGUUUUUUCUCUCUCUGCAACUAUAUAUACUAUUACUAAGAGUAAUAGGGAAUUACACAGAGAGAAAGAUGGGGAUGCAUAGAUCUUAUAUUUUUGUGGCUUUAAUUGUGUUGCUUAUAUCCAAGGAAGCUGUCUUUGUUACGGGUGAAGUUAAGAUGGCAAAAGAUGACCUUAAAGCCAAGCCUGCUACUGGCAAUGGAAAUGCAAAUGGUAACGGUAAUGGCAGUGGUAAUGGCAAUAGCAACGGCAAUGGCAACCCAAAUGGUAACAAUGGAAAUGCCAACGGUAAUGGUAAUGGCAGUGUUAAUGGAAAUAGCAAUGGCAAUGGCAACGCCAAUGGUAAUAAUGGAAAUGCCAAUGGCAAUGGUAAUGGAAGUGACAAUGGGAACAACAAUGGCAAUGAAAACACAAAGGGUAAUAAUGGGAAUGGCAAUGGUAAUGGUAGUGGAAGUGGCAACGGAAAUAGUAAUGGCAAUGGCAACGGAGGUGGUAAUAAUGGAAAUGCAGAUGGUAAUGGUAAUGGCAGUGACAAUGGGAACAACAACGGCAAUGGAAACACAAAGGGAAAUAAUGGGAAUGGCAAUGGUAACGGUAGUGGAAGUGGCAGUGGAAAUGGUAAUGGCAACAGCAAUGGAGGUGGUAACAAUGGAAAUGGAAAUGGGAACGGCGCUGGGAAUGGUAAUGGGAAUAACAACGGCAAUGGAAAUGGAGGCAGUCAAAGCGGCAAUGGCAAUGGGAAUGGGAAUGGCAAUGGAAACGGAAUUGGUGGCAGCGGCAGUGGGAAUGGAAAUGGGAAUGGGAAUGGGAACGGUAAUGGAAAUGGAAAUGGAAAUGGCAAUGGCAAUGGAAACGGGAGUGGCGGCAAUGGCAGUGGGAACGGGAAUGGGAAUGGGAAUGGCAACGGCAAUGGGAACAGUAAUACAGCUUCAACACAAUAUAUCAUGUUACCACCAAAGCAGAAAUCAGGACAAGAAACAUGUUUAUGUCAGGCUCAAGGACUGUGCAGCUACAAAAUCCUAGAGUGUCCACCUGAAUGUCCAGAAAGGAAGCCAAAAAAGAACAAAAAGGUCAAGGGAUGCUUCAUUGACUGCAGUAGCAAGUGCGAAACUACUUGCAAGUGUAAGCCUUUACUACUAGUUCUGACUUCUAAUCCUUGGUUUUCAAUAUUGCUAGUGUAACAUCAUUCACUUUUGUACUUAUAACCGUUUGUAUUGGCAGUUAGGAAGCCCAAAUGUGAAGGUUAUGGUUCGAUUUGUUAUGAUCCCCGGUUCGUCGGUGGCGAUGGUGUUAUGUUCUACUUUCAUGGAGCUAAGGGAAGAGAUUUUGCUCUUGUUUCUGACGAUGAAUUUCAGAUCAAUGCCCAUUUCAUUGGAACAAGACCUGCAGGUCGAACACGUGACUACACAUGGGUACAAGCUCUCUCAGUUAUGUUCGAUUCUCACACACUUGUCCUUGCUGCCAAGAGAGUUUCUAAAUGGGAUGACAACAUAGACGCUCUCAUUGUCCGAUGGGAUGGAAUGGAGAUGGAGAUACCAACUGACGGAGAGGCCGAGUGGCGAACUAAUGGUGAAGAAAGAGAGGUUGUUGUUGAACGCACUGACGACACAAACAGUGUUAAACUAACAGUAAGAGGAUUGUUGGAAGUGAAUGUGAAGGUAUCACCAAUUGGAGCUGAAGAAAACCGGGUGCACAAUUACCAAUUGCCAUCUGACGAUUCUUUUGCUCAUUUGGAAACUCAAUUCAAAUUCACCAACUUGUCAGACUUUGUUGAGGGAGUUUUGGGCCAAACUUAUCGACCAAACUAUGUGAGCCCAGUAAAGAUUGGUGUUCCUAUGCCAAUGAUGGGUGGAGAAGACAAGUAUCGCACACCGUCUCUCCUCUCACCAAUUUGCAGAGCUUGUAGGUUCUCUGGGAUUUCAUCUACAAUUGCUUCCAUCGAAGGGGUCACUCAAUACUUGCUAUAAUAAACUUGCUAUUCACUCAGCAAAUAGGUUUCCUGGUCUAUGUAUGAAGAAGAUACAUUAAGUCUUUGGAUCCUUAGGCUGCUAGUAUUGUUACUGACUAAGAUGAUACAAUAAGGAAUGCGAAAAAGUAUUCCCAUAUUCUGUUAAUAAACCAAUAAAUUCCUUGUUAUAAUAGCACAAACUCCUCAAAUUUGUCCUGCAGUUUGUCACAUUUACUUGGUUUAUUUAUACAAUUGAUCCAAGUAUGUAUAAUCAAAUGACUAAGAAGCCAUGGAGUAAAUUAAUCAAACACUUGGUCCACACAUCAAAUUAUCACAAUUACAAAAACAACAAGAAUUCAAAAUACGCAACAAAAUACUACAGUAUUACUUAAAACAUAUAGAAAAACACAUACCUUGAACAUGUUUGCAACAUAUACCUUCUUCCAUACCAUAGUGUUGUUGAAUGUUGAUGCAGUCAUGCAACUUUAGUUAGCUAGUUUAAAGUUUAAACUGAAGAAACCCAAAUAAAUCACCUAUAAAUUGUGUCUUAAAUGGUGGGUGAAUAUAGUGUAUAUAGGUGGAUGAGCAAAUAUUUUGACGUGGGUGAAAAUAUCUCCAAACAGAGCUUUUAAAAC
rnacentral:lncRNA from 1 species